rnacentral:lncRNA from 1 species
AUGAAAACACAUUCACUUAGACAAGAAAAAUGAAAAGUACCUGAGAAAGCCUGGAGGUAGUGAAAUCAAUGGUCCCACGUGGGUGGCAUUGGGCUGGCGUGUGGAUGUGUAUAUAUGCACGAUUCUUGGGGGAGGCUGGUUCCGACUGAAAGAGACAGAUGCUUCCUGGUUUUCAAAGCCUCUUUUUUUUUUUUUUUUUUUUCCCUGCUGUUUUAUUUUAAGGCGGGUUGCCUUUCGGAUCUGUCAGUGAGGGCGUGGUGAGCCUCCAGGCACUUGCACCCACCUCUGUAACUUGCUGUCCUUUGCUUAGUAUCGAGUGGAAGUGCGAAGCACCACAAACUGCUUUGAGCAGAGCCCACUUCCCUUCACCCACAGAGACCGUGAAGCAGUUACACCAACAUCAAUCAAGGAAAACCCACAGGCUGAACUCACACCGUUGAAGCAGGUGCGUGAGUGAGCAUUCUCCAGCAGGCGCACGUGACUGAGGCGCGCCUCGGCGUCUUGCCCGCAGAUGUCAGUUACGGUGGCUGUGGGGGGCGGUGCCCGCUGCUCACAGAGCCCAGGCGAGCCUGUCGUGCUUGGAGGGCAGAGGAAGUGUGGCUCCGGGCAUCUCAGUAGCUGAUGUACUGAGACCGGGGGGAAAAGUGCAAGGUCUAAUAUCUGUGUGUGUACAUAUAUUAAUAUAUAGCAAAUAUAGGUAUGUAUAUGGAUGUGGGCAUACACGUGUAGAUAUGUGUGUGUGUGUGUGUGUGUAGGCACACACAUGCCAUUUUAAAGCAAAACUCAAGUGGGCCAGGAGAUAAAGAGAGAAUAUGCACAUCUAAGACAUUCUUCACUAUCUGAUGAUAAGAGAAGGUGAUAAUCUUAAAAAGGCACAUUUCUCAUCCCAAGUUGCACCAUCCUGAUACAUAGUGAGCUUCAGGAAAUGUCUACAAAACUUUGGCAUGAUCUUUAAAAAAAGAAAAAAAAAAAAAAGAAAACAUUUAACACUAGGACUUCAGUAUAUCUUGUACCUUUUAAAUAGUUAUUCGUUCCCCAAAGCUUCUUGAACGUGUUACUGAGGUGCUUCAAAAUAUUAUGUGUGUUUAUAUUCAAAUAUGUGAACAAUCACCAUCUCUCUAAGGAAUGGAAAAGAGAGCCAGACAUUUUUUUUUAAACUACCAAACUGGCUAAUUUGGAGAAUAAUUGUAAAAUAUAAUGUCACUACACAUAUGGGAAAGAGCCAGAUAUUGUGGGGGGAGGGAUUUUUAUAUGGAGAUUCUUUUGCAGUAUAUAAGCUCAAAAGUCAGAAAAUGUUUUUAUUCAUAGUUCUGGUGGCACAACGUCUAGGCAGAUCUAUCCUAAGACUAUGAUAGAACAUGUGUAAAAAGAUUUUACUGCAAGAAUACUUUAGCACAAAUUUAUUUUUGAUGUAUUUUGUUAUAGAUAUCUAAAUAAUAUUAGGGUGAUCAAAUAAAUUAUGUUAGAACUAUACAGUAAAAUUCCAAAUGAGGCAUUCAAACAAUGCUGCAGGUUUUUCUCUGAUCUUACUUAAAAAAACCAAACCAAACCUGUAUUGCAUGCUUGCAUGAAUGGGUAGGCAUCGUAAUAGUUUGGGAGGUUGUGUAUAAACCUAAAUGUUAUCAUCUCUAGGUGAUUUGAGAAUAAUUAAAUGUCUUUAUUUUGCUUAUCUAUUUACUAAUAUCAUAUGUAUUACCUACAUAUUAAGUACAGCAAAGGGCAAUCAUGAAAAUAGCAUUUUAAUUAUCUAGAAAUAUUUGUGAAGACCAGGAAGGGAAGGCUUUUCUUUUCCUCCAGUUGUCUGUGUCAAAGACUGUUGAUUGAUUGAUUAAACAGUGCAUGUGUGCCAGGUACUGUUCAAUGCUCUGCCAUGUUGCUGUGUGCUUUUCUCAUGGUAAAUGGCUUAAUCAGUUCUCUUUGAUAUAUUGACUGAUGUGUGGCUUUACUGACAAAGUUAAUAAUACCAAUGUGAAGAUUCUAGUACGGACAUGUAAACAUUAAGAUUAAAUAGUGACCUUUUGGCUUUACGUUUUUACAUAUGUUUUAUCAGCUCUAUGAUUCUCACAUGGUUAAACCUUUCCUACCAUGUGGAUAGCUGGCAACCUCAGCCAAAAGCAGAGAAGAAAUUCAUGGGAACGACUUGACACCAUUCAUGAAAACUUUAACACUAAAAGGUCCCUGACCAGUGCUUUGAAAAAUCUGACCUGUCUGUAUUUUGUAGGUUUUUGGCUUUGAAAUUGCAUCUCAGUUUAAUGUUCAGCAGGUGUCCUCUGGGGAAUCAGGACAGGAUUUGAAGGGCGCGAGAUGGGUAUGAGGAAUUCAGUGUCAGUCGAUCUGGAAUGCUGAGACUGUGGAGGAUGGAAGGAGGGGUUUAGAUUAGGGAUGUCUGAGGGGAGGAGGAUCAGGAUGCGGGCAGACUUGGAGAAACUGAUUUAGAGGUUUUCCGUGCUUCUUUGAACUCCUAAGAUGUACCCAAAGGGCAGUCGGCUUCUGAUGCCCAGUUUCUUUCUCAUCAUGAUGGUCCUGGAAGUGUAACCUUUUCUGUGGCCUUUCAACACUGUGGCCUCUCAUACUAGUAUGAGAUUAGAAGUUUAAGAAAUUCCAGCUCCAAUCACCGAAAGCUCCAAACUGAAACGAGUUUUCAUGAGUUCAGCUUUAAAAAUAGCAAAGAUUCUUGAGAAGAAGGGCUUGUUUUGGAUGAGUACCAGUUUGCCAAGUUGCUGCAUGUGCGUGUGUGUGUCUGGGGGAAUGAUAUGGCUUCUUGAACUUGGUUCAUGUCUUUUCCCAUUGGUGAAGGGAAGACAUUAAACUUUGAAUUUCGUUCUGUUUCCAUUGUCCAGUGAAUCAGGAGACAGCGCCCGUUUGUUAAUCUUCUGCUGUGGGAAAAUUUGUCAUCAUCACUUCCUGCUUUUUCUCUCCACCCUUCUCUUGUUAAAACUGAUACGGUGUCUUUAACUAAUUGCCUGGGAAUAGUUUGAAGGGUAAAGGGUGGGGGUGAGUGUGGAGUCAGAGUGAUUCCAAGACAAGCCCAGAAUGAUAAAAUCAAUAAUUUAAGGAGACACUUGCCUGUAAAAAACAAAACCAAAGAAACCAAAAAACAAAACAAAACACCCAAAAAGCCGCCCCAAAACCAAACAUGUAAAUAGAACAAGAUUGUGAAAAUCAUGUCCUUAGGCAAGCUAAUCUAAUCACACACAGAAGGCAGCUUGCUUUCUUACUUGCUGGACCACUUCCACUAUAUAUUCUCAUAGGGAACAAUAUAUUAAGUAGUGUUUAGAAAUAUUUGUUGAAUCCUACUGUCUGAUUUUGGCAAAUCCCAAGGAAAAAAAGAAUAUGUCUUGGACUGCCUGAGCUUUUCGUGGAGGAUGUUGGAGUUUUCCCAGCGAGGCUGGCUUCACACUGUGGGAAACACUGGCUUAGUAGAUAACACUAUAAGAAUUUAUAUUCAGAGGUCAUUUAGUUUUCUUUAGGUUUUUGGAGCAGCCACUGCUGAUCUUCCAUCUCUCAGGAUCUGAAAAAACCCAAAGUGUAUGCUAAACUUUCCUUAUGUUGAUGUCGUCACUUCCCUUUGAAGGGUGCCCUAGCCUCUAACCCACUCAUCCUGUUAGAGCAACAGGCUGAGCUCACCAACACCAAAAUAUCCAGUGUCAGAGGAGAAGAUGUGGGUGGUAAUGUGAGAGUGGGUGAAAGAUAUGGUUAAAUGUCCUAGAGGAAAACAUAGGCAGAAUCCUCAUUGACAUAAAUCACAGCAAUAUUGUUUUGCAUCCUGUCUCCUAAAGCAAAGGAAGUAGAAACACAAACAAAUGGCACCUAAUUAAACUUAUAAGCUUGAGCACGGCAAGGAAAUCCUUGAUAAGGACAACCUAUUAAAUAGGAGAAAAUAUUUGCAAAUGAUAUGAUUGAUAAGGGGUUAAUAUCCAACAUAUAUAAACAGCUCAUACAACUCAACAUCAAAAAAAAAAAAAAGUUAAAAAGUGGGCAGAGGAACGGAAUAGAUGUUUUUCCAAAGAGGAAAUGCAGAUGGCCAGUAGGCACAGGAAAAGAGGCUCAUUGGCUAACCAUCAGGGAAAUGCAAAUCAGAAUCACAAUGUGAUAUCAUCUCUUACUUAUUAGAAUGGCUAUCAUCAAAAAGAACACAAAUAAUGAAUGUUGGCCAGGAUGUGGAGAAAAGGAAACUCUACACUUUUGAAGGGAAACUGGUGCAAUCACUGUGGAAACCAGUAUGGAGUUUUCUCAGACUGAAAACAGAACUACCAUAUGACCCAGCAGUUGCACUCUUGGGUAUGUAUCCAAAAAACCCGGAAACACUGAUUCAGAAAGAUAAAUGCACCCUGGUGUUUUAGCAGUAUUAUUUGCAAUUGCCAAGAUAUGGAAGCAACCUAAGUGUCCAUCAACAGAUGAAUUGUUAAAGAGGAUAUGGUAUACUAACGGGAUACUACCCAACCAUAAAAAAAGAAGGAAAUCUUGCCAUUUGCAGCGACAUAGAUGGACUAAGUGCAUUAUGUUAAGUCAAAUAAGUCAAACAGAGAAAGGCAAGUACUAUUAUGAUAUACAACAAACUAGUAAGGGUAACAGAGAAGACGCACAGGAAUAGAAAACUAACUAGUGGUUACCAGUGGGAAGGGGCAGUAUAGGCAAGGGGAUUAAUAGAUACUCUUCGGUUUAAUAAACUACAAGGGAGCUGCCCACAGGCCUCCCGCGCAUGCGCACUGGCAGCUCACGCAGGUGGGAGGAACGCCCACGCUAUCCAGCCGUGGUCUCCCUGACCUGACCUGGUUUCUACCCUGGCUUGGAGGGGCUCUCAACAUGUGGUGGUGACCCCAGGCGAUGUGGGCGCUGUGAAGGCCGAGGGAGCCACAGUCAUGCUGCCCCGCCUGCCCACGCCCCUGCGCUGGCGGUGACUCGCACCCGACUAAGCUGCAGGUGGAGCGCAGCCUGGACCACUCACUGGAGGGGCCGCAAAGAGGAGCAGGAGUUGGAAGAGGAUGACCAGCUGGAAGAGGAGGAGGUAUGUAUUAAAAAAAUAAAAAUAAGUCAUAAGCAUAUAUUGUACAACAGGAAUACAGCCAAUAUUUCAUAACUAUAAAUGGAGUAUAACCUUUAAAAGCGGUGAAUGACUAUAUUGUACACCUGUAACUUAUAUAAUAUAAAUGGCAACUAUACCUCAAUAAAAGAAGAAAAAAUAGCUUUUGGCAAAAACCUUCAGCUGAUGUUGUUUAAGUGUAGUCAUCUCAGAACAUUGAUGGAGUCAUUGUGAAAUGUGUGAUGAAAAUUAAAAUGAAAUAUUUGGAAAGUAAUGUUAUGGCCCCUUUAUUUAAAAGUGUGUACUGAAAUAAAAGUGUAUUAUAAUGAGGAAUGUAAGUGAAAUACAUUCCUUUAGUUGAAAUUUCUCAGCAUGUAUCUGGCAUAAAAUCGUUUUUAUAGAUCUUAUGCAAGGGCUAUGUUGCAGCCUUAUUCCACUGGUGCUUAAACGUGAGUAGACCUAUCUGACCAAGUUCUUUUGCUCUGUUGCUUGUCACUUUGCAGCACUAUUUAAGCUAUCAUAUCUCAUCUCUAGAAGGGAGAUAAGAGCAUCAACCUCAGAGGGUUUUAAAACUAAACUUGAUUUUAGAAUAGUUUUAGAUUAACCCAGAAAAGUUGCAAAGCUAGGAAGAGUGUAUGCUUAUAUUCUUCACCCAGUUUCUCUUAUUGUCACCAUGUUACCUUACCAUGGAAUGUUUGUCAAAACUAAGGAACCAACAUCGGUGCUUUGUUGUUAACUCUACAGUUUACUUGGAUUCCCCUAGAUUUCCCCUAGUGUCCUCCCUUCCAGGAGCUCACUCUGGGAUACCACGUUUCAUUUGUCCGUCCUGUAUACUUAGAUGCCUCUGAACUAUGGCUGUUUCUAGACUCAUUUUUUGAUGACCUUGAUAGUUUUGAAGAGUUAAAGUCAGUAUUUUGUAGAAUGUCCCUAAUUGGGGAUUUGUCUGAUGUUUUUUCUCAUGAUUAAACUGGGUUAUGGGUUUUUGAAAGAUUGUCCUCAACAUGUCGUAUCAAGGGUAUAUACUAUUAACAAGGCUUAUUACUAUUGAGGUUGACCUGGAUCACCUGGCUGAGAUUAUGUUUUCAGGCUUUUCCAUUAUAAAGUGGCUCCGCCCCUCUGCAUUGUACUUUUUGGAAGGAGAUCCAUACAUGGCAUUGUCUUAAGGAUUAAAUGAGGUGAUAAAGCUCUUAGCACGCAGCCUGGCGCUUAGAACACCCUCGUUAGAGGUCACUCGUGACCAAAGUCGUUGCUUUUGCACUCAUAGCCCUCUUCAGUACUUAAAUGCCAGGAGUAUUUAGAGCAUCUUCCUCAUAGUUGCUUAUUGACGAUGAUCAAAAAGGAAGAAGAAAUGAGAGGGCUCACCAACUUUGCAGUGAGCUGGCUGUACUCAGAGGCCCUCUGGGAGGAGGGAGUGACUUCACUCAGGCUUUCCUGCUGAAGGCCAGUGCUGUGCUGGGAGCAUCAACCUUUGGUCCUGUUUCAAGGGAUGGUGUCUGUCCGCCAAGAUGAGCGUGGAGUUUGACGAGGUGGGGGUGAGGGUGGCUGGUGAGCCUUGGGCAUGAGGGGAGAAGGACCAUAAUUGAGGAGCUGAGCCUACAUUAUGGCGAGACUUUUUUAUGGUCAAAUUUGAGAGCUUUCAGGUAAAAUUUAGAGUUCUUCU